CUUGAGAUUAUUAUUCAAUUUGAAUAUCAUUAUUGUUGAACCUUGUUAGACUAGUGAACCUUAUUGAUUCGACUAGUCCAUAGUUGAUGAACGUUCUAAAUUUCAGAACCCUUAUUGAAUUAUCCAAACCAAACUUCCUUUGGUGCAGAUUUGAAUGUCAAACUGAGAUGAACAACCCUGCAAAGGGAUUUACUUAUGCGUU
rnacentral:lncRNA from 1 species